rnacentral:lncRNA from 1 species
ACGUCGCAAACCGAGAUACGUGGUUUGGUAGUUUCACCGUCGAUAUAUAUUAUUUAAUUUUUAAUAUCGUUAGGAUUCGGACAGGGCCGGAUUUAGGGUCUGGCCGCGGCCCAUGUCGGCAAAUUUUACAAUUUUUUAAUAUAUAGGUAAAAAAAAUCGGAUUCGGAAAACGAAAAUAGGCGACAAAAUCUCUCAUCUCCUGAGAGUAUAGUAAUAUCUAAUUUUGUCGUCUUUCGGUGAUACAAGAGACAGCACCUUUAAUUGGUCGAGUUAAGAGAGAAACCCAACACGCAAUUCGGCCCGGAGCGGCGCGGCGCAGAGAGUAAUGAUGACGAGGACUUGAGAUGAAAAGGAGAAGCCCUCGACGCGGCGGUCGCGCGGGUCGCGGUUGGGUCGGCCUGUAACACAUAUUAGCGCCUACAAGACUGCUUGAAUACUUCACGCAUUGCGUCAAACAGCGCGGUUAGCGUGAAACGCUUAGCGCCUACAAGACUGCAUGAAUACUUCACGCAUUGCGUCAAACACACUGCGGUUAGCGCGGCGCGGCGGCAGAAGUCAAAAUUAUUAAACCACAUUUAUGUUUGUUCUUUCAUAAUUUUUUCGUUCAUUUCUUAGCAAUGGAAGGCCUUGUCCACAGAGAGAUAAGUUUACGGAACUAUUUCUAAUGUCGACACGGCUUUCACAAAACAUGUGCCCAACUUAAGUAAACGCAUCUUACGCAGACAUCCCCCCCCCCCUCCGGCACGUUCACGUUGAUGGUUUUAUGAUGUUUCAAAACGAAUGAGAAGGGGGCGGCAAGUAGGUAAACCCGGCCCUGGAUCCGGACAUGACUCGAUCGCACAGUUUCCUUUACUAGUAAUUUUUUCUCCUGCAGGCUGCCCUACAAGCUUACCUGAAAGAUAUUGAAAGCAAUCCGGACUACACAUCCCACGUAAUCAAAGAGGAAGUAGCAAGAGCCAAAGCUGAGAAGGAACACGACUUAAAGAAGCAGAAAAGAAAGGAAACAAAAAGAAACCUAUCCGCAGAGGCUGAAACUACGAAAAGCACAGUAGAAACCCCGCUAGCAAAAAAUGGUUCGAGGCACGUUCACCAGAGGGCUACUCGUAUUACUGGAAUGUUGAAACUGGAGGGAUGAAGAGCCUGUCGAUUUGCAACUUCCAGAGCAAGAAUACGUUGAGCUGAAUGUACCUGAAUUACAAUCAGAUGCGCCAAAAUUGAAUUCAAAGAAAAGUUAUCACGUCUCUGAAGACUUCGUUCCAGAUAAUGUCAACAAGAAAAGGGUGUAUCUGCUUUCAAGAAAAGAAAAUUUAAUCCAAAAGGUAAUGCUCGCCAAAGACUAGAUAAUGACUGAGUAGAAAACUUGAAGCACCAUUGCCAGGUGUUUUUAAAUUUUUGGGGUGCAGUGAGUCAUGAGCUCUCUCAGAGUCGUUUCAAGGGAGCCUAGACUUUACGGUAAACCUAGUUUCAUCAGAUGAAUUUACCAUUGGUUUAAACUUGCAACAAACUACCUGCAAAAAUGAUUUUCAUUUCUUCACAUUGUAGUACAGAAUGCAAGCAAUGUUCAGUAAAGUUACUUGAGGCUUGAACCUGUAAUUAGAGUUCAUAAUGGCUCACUGUGUUUUGAAUUGAAACUGCACCAUACUGUUUGGUUUGACAGGCCUUCGAUCUUGCUCACUUUGAGUAAUUUUGCUCAAGUUUGUAGCCUAGCAAAGUUCUGGUCAACACAGUUUGACUAGUCAGAUUUGAGCCAGUGGAAGGUUGAAUCGCGAAUAUAAAUUUCAAUGAACUCGAAAACUAAGGUUUUUUUGGGUUCUUGUUUGCUUC